rnacentral:rRNA from 1 species
AUUGAACGCUGGCGGCAUGCCUUACACAUGCAAGUCGAACGGUAACAGGUCUUCGGACGCUGACGAGUGGCGCACGGGUGCGUAAUGCAUCGGAACGUGCCCCGUCGUGGGGGAUAACUGCUAGCAAGGGCAGCUAAUACCGCAUACGACCUGAGGGUGAAAGCGGGGGACCGUAAGGCUGCGCGCGGUUUGAGCGGCCGAUGUCAGAUUAGCUAGCUGGUGAGGUAAAGGCUUAUCAAGGCAACGAUCGGUAGUGGAUCUGAGAGGACGACCAGCCACACUGGGACUGAGACACGGCCCAGACUCCUACGGGAGGCAGCAGUGGGGAAUUUUGGACAAAGGGCGCAAGCCUGAUCCAGCAAUGCCGCGUGCAGGAAGAAGGUCUUCGGGUUGUAAACUGCUGUUGUCAGGGAAGAAAUCUUCUGGGAUAAUACCCCGGGGGGAUGACGGUACCUGAAGAAUAAGCACCGGCUAACUACGUG